GCGUUAUCCGGAUUCACUGGGUUUAAAGGGUGCGUAGGUGGGUCUGUAAGUCAGUGGUGAAAUCUCCAAGCUUAACUUGGAAACUGCCGUUGAUACUAUAGACCUUGAAUGCUGUGGAGGUGAGCAGAAUAUGUCAUGUAGCGGUGAAAUGCUUAGAUAUGACAUAGAACACCAAUUGCGAAAGCAGCUCACUACCCAGAUAUUAACACUGAGGCACGAAAGCGUGGGGAUCAAACAGG
rnacentral:rRNA from 1 species